UACUUUUAUUUCUAGAAGGUAAAAUGGCCAAUGUUGGAAUGAUACAGAGAAGAUUAGCAUGGUCCCUGCGCAAGGAUGACACGCAAAUUCGUGAAGCAGUCCAUAUUUUU